ACCGGCGCGGUUGAACCGCGGCCUUUCCGCCCUUCCGCGGUCCUAGCCCUUCCAGACCUGCAUCCCGGUGACAGCUCCCGUGAUCCCGGACUCAGACGGCGCAUCUUGGACUUGACCAAAAUGGGAGCAGUUGCCAGGACGGGCCUGGCCGGCGCGCCCAGACACGAACUGAAGCCAUUCAGGAACUCAAAAUCAGCUGUUAGACCGUGAGACCGGCGAUCGAGACAUUUCAGAAACCUCUCUCAAUUGCUAAAAAAAUUCACGGAAGUGUUCCGAUUUUUUAGUGUUUCCUGUGAGUUUUAUCAGUGUUUUCCUCGAUUUGUUUGCACUUUGUUCCCGACCCUUUGAAAGGUUUUGUUUCGAUUUAGGGAAACGUCCCUUUUGUCGGAGACUUUCGCGCUAGACAUGACCGGGACGAGUUCAAAUUCGCCCGACUUUGAUAGGACGAAUGUCGACGAUUAAAACAAGGACAGCAGGUGAAAGAACAUUCUACGUGCACGGCAGACUCUUUCCCUUUGAACAGUUCAGACCGCAAUGAUUGCAACUUCUCAAGUGGGUGGGAAAAGGGUUCCAGACACCGACAGACUAGAUGUGGGGUUCGAGAAACCAGAAUGAGAGCUUCGAGAAAAGUUCGUCCAGAAUCGAGAUGUUGAUGCAGAAGGAACUCUGGUGCAGAAAGUCACGUGCAUGAUGAAGAAGUGAACGCUUGAGAGAUGCAACCUUUAAAGCGCCGGAGAAAAAAGCGCGCUAAACCGUCUGCGUGCCUCGUUGUGGUUCUGCAUACCGUAAGUCCAAAAUGGCUGGAGAGGAUGAUGGUCAACCCCAAAUGACGUCGGAGACAGACCAGUGAAGCCAGAAGGAUGCCCAGCGCGGUCCACAGUCAAACGGGGUCAAGGACACUGGCUGCCGCAUUGAUUUCAACCUCUGCCACAGUGGCGCUGCAUUCGCUUUUUGCUAUGUCCUACCACAACGAGCCACGACAGAACUUGGCGACCCAGAUUGAUAGUCAAAAGGAAUUAUUUCGUGAUGUUUCAUGAAGAACUGCACGGUACAUCUCCCAGUGAUUGUGAAUGGGGGCGUGCAACAUCACUAGUAGUUCACGCUUCUCCACAAAGGGGGCACUGAAUAAUUGAUGUCAUUGCUGCACAUAGGAGGCAGCACGUUUCACUCAAAUGAUGACAUCAAAACGAUAAAAUAAUCAUGAUCCUAAAUUUUGAAAAAUGCAUGGCAAAGAAAAGGUUGGAAAGCGGCUGAUUUUGUUCUAUAAGACACAUUUGUCAGGAAGGACUCUGGAGCCCUGGAACCCAGGCGCUGUUGGGAGUCUUGGCGUCGACAUGGCAGUACAUGUAUACUGUGAGAACUAAUCUAGGGGUGACCUAAACUGAUAUAACUAACGAACUGGAAUGAAUCUGCUCAACUAUAUUGUAAGGUGCUAUAUUAUAAUUAAUUUGUACAUAAUGAUAGAAUUCGUUCUCCGAAUAUGGAGGUUAAAAUAUGCUAGCGCACAAGAUGUGGUCUCAGGGAUGUACAUAAAUUGUGUGGUUUUUAUAGUUAACUUCAUUUUGGCCAAUAGGGGGCUCUCUGUGCGGCAAAAUAUUGUUCUAGAAGUUUUCUCAUCAGUCAGGCUCAAGACUACUGGUAUUUUCGUAAACAUAUGACACUCAGAAACGGUAUUCAAAUCCAUAUAUUUGGAGUACAUAAUUGAAAGUAUUUAGUUCAAUUAUUUGCGAAUUAGAUCAAACCACCUUCUCUUGGCUGCACGGAAUACCCCCUGUUGCGACACUUGUGAUUUCAUCUGGUAGCUAAUGGGCGACCUCCGUAUAUCAGCCGUCGAUACCCAUCGGGACAUUUAAUUCCCUUGCUCUUCGCUAGGGGAUGAGUGGAUUGUUAUUUUCCGCCAUCUUUGUUAUUGAAUGCGCGAGCAUGGCAACCUGCGAAGCGUGGCAGGGGCUAUCCUGGUCGUGUCCCAGCUUAGUGCCCGUGUGUGGCUGAGGUCAGUUGUGAUUGAAGACGCCACAACCCCCUUAGCGAGCGUAUCUGGUACUGAUAUAGAUAUAUCUGACUUGGUUAUUAGAUCGAGGAAGCAACACUGUUUCCGCUGUCGAUUAAAAUAUCGAGAUUUCAACUAAGUUGUUCACCUGUUGUUAGUAGGUGUAGUUCAACAAUAAUAUUCAAUAUGCCGGUCGAUAGUGAUCCCGGCUGAUUGCGAAGUCUGCCCAGUUAAUCACAAAAUCCAGCCGCCGAUAGUUUCACACCAACGCAUAUCGGCAGCAUUUCAGAACUAUCGACGGCUCGGUUGUCGUUAUAUUCAUCGCCGCUGUAAAUAAGAUUGUACGUGUGAUUGUAUUAUUAACUGCAUUAACUAUCUAUUCUUAUUAGACUAGGCCUACACAACGUUCGAAAGAGGGAUCAUAAUCCAGCUGACAUUGUAAAUAAUAUCAUAAAUGUAUAGACUAAAAGACAUCAGUUGGAAAAGCUCUAUAAUCCGACUUCAUCGUUCCCACUUGCUAUCCACUCAAUUGUUGCCACUACUUUUCCUCUCCGCACAUGAUUUUAGUUUUACACGUACUCUUACACUUUUAGCUAAUUGACUGUACCUGCUUAACUCGCUUGGUCACGGAACGAAAUGAGUAGAACGGCUCUGCCCGCUAUUUUGGAACAGUGUGUGUACGCUUCCUCCGACAUACAGAUGGAGCAGGACGCACGCGAAUUGGAGAGAAGUCCAAAAUGGCAGGCAUAACCGUUCUUCGUAUUUUAUCUGCUUUAACCCUCUCUUUCUUCCCUUCCCGUUAAGCAUUAGUCUUCAUUCUUGGCACCAGGUGUCACUAGCGUAUUGUCAACAGAUCUUUAGUCUGGCACUGUCACUUCUUUUAACACACGACCACGUUUCCAUCUUCAUUCGCAACAUAAAACAAGAUCCAUCAUCCCAGUGUGACGUUUCACCAUCAGGUGGCAAUAGUUGUAGUAUAACCUUUCUUCAAUUCAAAGCAGACGAUACGUCAUGCAUCAGUCAUCAGAGUUCUGGUCUUGCUCUUGACGGCAUUUCACUUGUCAUGAACUAGAUUUGGGGGCGUCAGUAUUGACAGUGCAUCCACUGUAUGCACUGAAAAUGCAUGGCUCGCCUCGGGUAAAUCAACGAGGCCUCCUCGACCCUCCGCUGCGCGGCGGAUAGGGUCGAGGUUACCUGGACUGGUCAUGCGGGAGGAGAAAGUAGCAUUCACGCCAUCUUCUGGUGAAUCAUCACACUGACGUAAACUAUCCGGUUAAAUCUCGCUUGCCAUAAGAAGCGCAUGCGCAGUAGCACAAGCUGGCACUGCCAUCGUGGAUUUGAAUUCCAAGUGCCAUACAUUUAUUGAUCGUAAGGUUUUUUGUACACGGGUUACUAUGGUUGUUGUGAGAGUAGAGAGGGGUCUAAAUUGUAUCUUCUUAGAAUGUAGACAUGUCCCCACCAAAAAAGGGGAAAAUGUUUGUUUUGCCCGGAGAAACAAAUCCGUUGAAGGAUGGGUUUGGCCGUAGUUACAGUCUGAAAAUGCACCUCCACUGCGUUGAAAAAGUGACCUUCCCUAUUUUAUUCUAACGGAUUAAGGUAGAGUAAUAUAGAUACCCAGAAUAUCCAGAAUAUCUUUGAAAUCAAACACAUAUUAUAAUUCAUUUUUCCCAGGGACACUCUAUCUUCGAGGAGAGUCGUAGUCUCGAUUCUCACAAGUUCGCCAUCUUCAGGAAUCUCUAAGAACUAAAUGUACUGUCCUUGGCGUAGACAUCAGAGUAGUAUACACUUGCACGUACAUGUAUGAGUGUAUACACUGCUGUAAAAUAAUUCAUCUCUUCUUUCGUCUGAAUUCGAUCAAUUGUUUUUGGUGGUAUCUAGACAGAACUAUCUUUUGUCCGAGUGUGUCAAGCUUUCUAAUCGAAAGUUUCAAUAUGCCAAUGAUAACUUUAGAUUAAGAAGGAAAAAUUGGACGGAUUGGAUAUAUUGCUCAGCGCUUAGGAUGUACAAGUCCUGGUUUUCUUUCAGUUCUUUGGUCACCAAGGGCAAAUUUGCGAUGUUAGUUAAGACUUUUAGUACUGAUGGCGAUAGUGUUGGCUUGCUUCAGCCCGGUGUAACAUCGUGGUUGUCCCCCAUUUAGUAUAGAUGGCGAUAGUGUUGGCUUGCUUCAGCCCGGUGUAACAUCGUGGUUGUCCCCCAUUUAGUAUAGAUGGCGAUAGUGUUGGCUUGCUUCAGCCCGGUGUAACAUCGUGGUUGUCCCCCAUUUAGUAUAGAUGGCGAUAGUGUUGGCUUGCUUCAGCCCGGUGUAACAUCGUGGUUGUUCCCCAUUUUCCAGUGUUUCCCCAAACUAAAAACCUCACAGAUACUAUUUAACUAUGCACUUGGCCCCUUACGAAAUGACCGGAAUCUUUCAGCCGAAAUUGACCAAGUGUCUUUGUCCCGUCCGUUCCCGAUCUGUUUGGCAAAGGUCACGAAUAUUGACAUAGGCGACGGUACAUUUCUCGCCCACCUGUUGUGUAUGUCGCAGGUGAAGAGCUUGCCUGCUAACACCCAGUUUAUUACAGCUCUGAAAAUUAGGAUAAAAUAACUUUCAGAUUGACCUUUCGGUCGUUGAUUGAUUGGCAAAAUCCUGGACAUAGUUUGUAUAUGAACCUUAGCGAAAGUUCCCCUAUUCAAGUUUUUAUAUGAGAAAGACUUUCUUAUCGCAGCAACUCGGGAAUUGAGAUUUUAUUACCCAAAAAUGAGACAAACCCGGUUAUUCAUAAUUAUUCUGCCAUGACGUUUAUGCCGAUGUGAUCUUAUGCAAAUAAUUAUGUGCACUGCAGGGUUCAAGCCAAAGCAGCCACCGCGCCGUCGAUAGUUCUGCAUAAGUGGGAACUAUCGGCGGCGCAGUUAUUGCGGCUAGUUUCAAAUAUAAAACUAUACAAACGAAUCUACCUCGAAACAUAGAUCAAUUCGUGAUGUGAUGUUAUGCGUGACGUCAUAGCGGUUUUACGUGCAGUUUACGAAAUUAGAGCCAUUUGCUUUCACUGCAUUUUGAAUUAUCUCGAAUGACCUCAAUUUCAUGCGCCUGGGUGAUUUCGUCAGCAAAAUUUGAAUCGUGCGAUGGGCUUACGGGAUUUUAGGCAACGACACGAAUGCGACGAAAUGGGUUGCGAUCAUUAUUUCAAAAUGAACCUGGUUCUCAAAUAUUGUAGACUGCUCAGGGUUGACUGCCGAUGUCAACAUCACAUCAUCAUAGGCCAUCAUCAUUGUGACCAGCCAGAUAUGCAUCGAUCAGACGUCGAAACAAAUUUGAACGUGUAUGGAUUCCAAAACAGGUCUUGUCCUAAGAACUCGCUUAAAAUGACGUCAGCAAAUGCGGAUUGAAUUGAACAGUGGGCAUUUGGUGCCACCUAUCGGUGAAAUGAUACUGAAAGACUAUGACGAAGAGGCUUAACCAAUCAAACGUCACGAUUGCAAGCAAAGUUUGUAGAAUUGAUGACAGCAGUAGGUUCCUCUUCUCGCCGAUAGAGGAGCUAUCAUAAGAUCAUUUACUUGUGCAUUUAUGUAAUAUGUAUAUUAUUUGUGUAAAUGUGUAUAUUUUGCAAUGCUUAAUGUGAGAAAUGGCAUAUGGCAACCUUGUCUCCUGAAGGCUUGCACUACUGGUUUCGAGGUUGCCAGAACAUUCUCGGAAACGGUUAGGAAAAAUUGACAGGGAAUGAUGUACAUAGGAAGUUUUUGAACGUAUUUUUUUAAUAUUUCCACGGUGACAAGUCACGUGACUUGUUGCCUGGAUACGACGAAGCUAAGGUAUGCCAAAGAAUGUAAAAAACUAGGUAAAAUCUGGGCCCUAAUAAUAGUAAUGUUAUUAUUUAGACCUUUAAUUAUUAGAGGGAUUAUUUCUAGUUCUAAGAAAAUUAUUGUUGUGAAUAUUGUGUGUUUGGUUAUAAAUCUUUAUUGUACAUGUAAUGACGCGAAGUUUUAUACAUGAUAAUAAAAGUGAAUUCGGAGUAA